rnacentral:rRNA from 1 species
AUACCCUACGGGACGCAGCAGUGGGGAAUAUUGCACAAUGGGGGAAACCCUGAUGCAGCAACGCCGCGUGAGUGAAGAAGUAUUUCGGUAUGUAAAGCUCUAUCAGUAGGGAAGAAGAAAGACGGUACCUGACUAAGAAGCCCCGGCUAACUACGUGCCAGCAGCCGCGGUAAUACGUAGGAUGCGAGCGUUAUCCGGAUUUAUUGGGUUUAAAGGGUGCGUAGGCGGGCUGUUAAGUCAGCGGUAAAAGCCCGGGGCUCAACCCCGGCGAGCCGUUGAAACUGGCUGUCUUGAGAUGUCGGGAG